rnacentral:rRNA from 1 species
UGGCGAAUAUUGGACAAUGGGCGCAAGCCUGAUCCAGCCAUGCCGCGUGAGUGAUGAAGGCCCUAGGGUUGUAAAGCUCUUUCACCGGUGAAGAUAAUGACGGUAACCGGAGAAGAAGCCCCGGCUAACUUCGUGCCAGCAGCCGCGGUAAUACGAAGGGGGCUAGCGUUGUUCGGAUUUACUGGGCGUAAAGCGCACGUAGGCGGACUUUUAAGUCAGGGGUGAAAUCCCGGGGCUCAACCCCGGAACUGCCUUUGAUACUGGAAGUCUUGAGUGCAGGAGAGGAAAGUGGAAUUCCCAGUGUAGCGGUGAAAUGCGUAGAUAUUGGGAGGAACACCAGUAGCGAAGGCGGCUUUCUGGACUGCAACUGACACUGAGGCACGAAAGCGUGGGUAGCAAACAGG